UACGUAGGGGGCAAGCGUUAUCCGGAAUUAUUGGGCGUAAAGAGUACGUAGGUGGCAACCUAAGCGCAGGGUUUAAGGCAAUGGCUCAACCAUUGUUCGCCCUGCGAACUGGGAUGCUUGAGUGCAGGAGAGGAAAGCGGAAUUCCUAGUGUAGCGGUGAAAUGCGUAGAUAUCAGGAGGAACACCGGUGGCGAAGGCGGCCUGCUGGACUGCAACUGACGUUGAGGCCCGAAAGCGUGGGGAGCAAACAGG
rnacentral:rRNA from 1 species